rnacentral:rRNA from 1 species
UACAGAGGUCCCAAGCGUUGUUCGGAUUCAUUGAGCGUAAAGCGCGUGUAGGCGGCCCGGUAAGUCCGCUGUGAAAGUCGGGGGCUCAACCCUCGAAUGCCGGUGGAUACUGUCGGGCUAGAGUGCGGGAGAGGCGAGUGGAAUUCCUGGUGUAGCGGUGAAAUGCGCAGAUAUCAGGAGGAACACCAAUUGCGAAGGCAGCUCGCUGGAACGUAACUGACGCUGAGGCGCGAAAGCGUGGGGAGCAAACAGG